AGCGGCGGACGGGUGAGUAACGCGUGGGUAACCUGCCUCAUACAGGGGGAUAACAGUUGGAAACGGCUGCUAAUACCGCAUAAGCGCACAGUACCGCAUGGUACGGCGUGAAAAACUCCGGUGGUAUGAGAUGGACCCGCGUCUGAUUAGGUAGUUGGUGGGGUAACGGCCUACCAAGCCGACGAUCAGUAGCCGACCUGAGAGGGUGACCGGCCACAUUGGGACUGAGACACGGCCCAG
rnacentral:rRNA from 1 species